CCUAUAGAUCAAUAAUCCAAGUGUAAAUUCCGGAGCAUAAGAGGCUAAUCCAAGUAAAUUAUACUAAUUUCUGUGAAGACUUGGCAAUGAUUUUGCGUUGGAAAAUCCUCCAAUUAUAUUUCUAGAUCAAGAUUAAGAGGUAAGUGUAGAAUCUAGACAAUCUGAACAAACCACUUGAGGUAUUCAUGGAAAUGUAACGAAUUCCAAGCCCAGUGGUAUAGCUACAAUGAGUGAAAGAUUCUUAUCUUACCAUUAGUUCGAGGGCAAUGUGCUUGGGAUAUUUGUGCAAGCAAUUGUUGAGUUCCUAAUGGAAUUAUGACCUGGUCUUCAAAGUUAUACAAUCUUCGUUGCCUCACGCUACGGGAUGUUGUACUGGAGUUGGAUCGGGACCUUGGGUUGGCUCCUAAUUGGAGUCUUUAUUGUUUACUUAUUUGUGGAUCACUUUAUGCAUAGGUUUAAAAAUUUAUUAUAGGUAAUGCAUUUUAAAUAUUAAUAACUUCUUACCAUUAUUC